UUCCCGCUCGCUCUUCUGCUCAGGCCUCCGGAAAAGUGGGUAGGGAGGAAGAGAAACAGCGGGGACCCGGAAAUGGCGUUUAUAAUGGCGCAACAGUUGAGGGAGGGGAGACGGCAAGGGAACAACAUUGCCGUUCUGCCUUGCCCCUCUACUGCUCUGGCGAUCACAGCGCGGGCCUGGUGACUAAAUUCCAUGGGGGAGGGCUUUCCUAGUGAGUGCGCAUGCGUAGGGGACCAUGUUCGCGCAUCAUCUUGUCGGUCCACCUUGCCUGAAAUUAGGGAAUGGCGACUCGAGUGCAGAAUCCCGAGGAUUAGACGGUCGGGAUUCCCAUUGGAAUCCCAUGAGAACGUUCCCUCUCUCCCUCUGCUGGCUUCUCUGUACCGCGAUGGAGCCACCCUCGCCGUCUUCGGCCGGUGCGCCGCUCCCCGCCCUCCCUGCGCGUGUGGCGCUCGCACAGCCACACCUGACGUCAUCCUAGCAUGAUUCACACGGCCCGGCAGCCCGCUUUCCGCUCCCGCUGCUUCCGUUGAGAAACAUGGCAUUGCCCGCUGAGUGAGGAACGAGAUAUUCAGAGGCUGACAGAGCAUCUUGCAUAAGGACACCUCCAGAGGAAUUCUGCACGCAUAAACUGAGAAGAAACAUCUUUCCAUCAAUAUUUUAUGGGCCAUGCUGUCCUAACCAUCGCACUGUUGCAUAAAUCCUAAGUCAAAAAUAAAAAUUGGCUGUAUCA